UGGAGCAGUGUGGUUAAUUCGACGCAACGCGAAGAACUUACCAGGCUUGACAUCCCUCGGCGGCUGGGGAAACUCAGCUAGACCUUUCAGGAAUGGGAGGAACGGAGGAGACAGGGUGGUGCAUGGUUGUCGUCAGCUCGUGUCGUGAGAUGUUGGGUUAAGUCCCGCAACGAGCGCAACCCUUACAGUUAGUUGCCAGCAUUCAGUUGGGCACUCUAAGGAGACUGCCGGUGUCAAACCGGAGGAAGUGGGGAUGACGUCAAGUCCUCAUGGCCCUUAUGUCCAGGGCUACACACGUGCUACAAUGGCCGGUACAAAGGGGCGCAAGACCGCGAGGUGGAGCAAAUCCCAAAAAACCGGUCUCAGUUCGGAUUGGAGUCUGCAACUCGACUCCAUGAAGUUGGAAUCGCUAGUAAUCGCGUAUCAGCAUGACCGCGGUCGAAUACGUUCCCGGGCCUU
rnacentral:rRNA from 1 species